AGGAAGAACCGAUGCUGGAACGUCGUUGC
rnacentral:piRNA from 2 species